UGCGUAGGCGGAAGAAUAAGUCAGUGGUGAAAUCUUGCAGCUUAACUGUAAAACUGCCAUUGAUACUGUUUUUCUUGAGUAUAGUUGAGGUAGGCGGAAUGUGUAAUGUAGCGGUGAAAUGCUUAGAUACUACACAGAACACCGAUUGCGUAGGCAGCUUACUAAACUAUAACUGACGCUGAGGCACGAAAGCGUGGGGAGCGAACAGGAUUAGAUACCCUGGUAGUC
rnacentral:rRNA from 1 species